rnacentral:rRNA from 1 species
GACGAACGCUGGCGGCGUGCUUAACACAUGCAAGUCGAACGGAAAGGCCCUGCUUUUGUGGGGUGCUCGAGUGGCGAACGGGUGAGUAACACGUGAGUAACCUGCCCUUGACUUUGGGAUAACUUCAGGAAACUGGGCCUAAUACCGGAUAGGAGCUCCCGCUCCAGGGUGGGGGUUGGAACGUUUCGGCGGUUGGGGAUGGACGCGCGGGUUAUCAGCUUGUUGGUGGGGUAGUGGCUUACCAAGGCUUUGACGGGUAGCCGGCCUGGGAGGGUGACCGGCGACAGUGGGACUGAGAUACGGCCCAGACUCCUACGGGAGGCAGCAGUGGGGAAUAUUGCACAAUGGGCGGGAGCCUGAUGCAGCAACGCCGCGUGCGGGAUGACGGCCUUCGGGUUGUAAACCGCUGUCGCCUGUGACGAAGCGUGAGUGACGGUAAUGGGUGAAGAAGCACCGGCUAACUACGUG